UCUUGACGUUAGCAACAGAAGAAGCACCGGCUAACUCCGUGCCAGCAGCCGCGGUAAUACGGAGGGUGCGAGCGUUAAUCGGAAUUACUGGGCGUAAAGCGCAUGCAGGUGGUUCAUUAAGUCAGAUGUGAAAGCCCGGGGCUCAACCUCGGAACUGCAUUUGAAACUGGUGAACUAGAGUACUGUAGAGGGGGGUAGAAUUUCAGGUGUAGCGGUGAAAUGCGUAGAG
rnacentral:rRNA from 1 species